AACGAACGCUGGCGGCGUGUUUAAGACAUGCAAGUCGCACGGGACUAUUUGAGUAGCAAUACAAGAAUAGUCUAGUGGCGCACGGGUGAGUAACACGUGAAUUACAUGCCCUGCAGAGGGGGAUAGCCCAGGGAAACUUGGAUUAAUACCCCAUGGUAUCGCAAGAUUAAAGGUGGCCGCAAGGCUGUCGCUGCAGGAUUGGUUCGCGCCCUAUCGGCUUGUUGGUGAGGUAACGGCUCACCAAGGCUACGACGGGUACCUGGUCUGAGAGGACGAUCAGGCACACUGGAACUGAGACACGGUCCAGACACCUACGGGUGGCAGCAGUCGAGAAUAAUUCACAAUGGGGGCAACCCUGAUGGUGCAACGCCGCGUGGAGGAUGAAGGUCUUCGGAUUGUAAACUCCUGUCAUCCGGGAGUAAGACCUGGCGAUGAAUAGUCGACAGGGUUGAUAGUACCGGAAGAGGAAGGGACGGCUAACUUCGUGCCAGCAGCCGCGGUAAUACGAAGGUCCCGAGCGUUGUUCGGAAUCACUGGGCGUAAAGGGAGCGUANGCGGCGUGGUAAAGUCAGAUGUGAAAUCCCGGGGCUCAACCCCGGAACUGCAUCCGAUACUGGCCGUGCUAGAGGAUUGGAGAGGUAGCUGGAAUUCACGGUGUAGCARUGAAAUGCGUAGAUAUCGUGAGGAACACUCGUGGCGAAAGCGAGCUACUGGACAACUCCUGACGCUGAGGCUCGAAGGCCAGGGUAGCGAAAGGGAUUAGAUACCCCUGUAGUCCUGGCAGUAAACGGUGCACGCUUGGUGUGAGGGGAAUCGACCCCCCUUGUGCCGGAGCUAACGCGUUAAGCGUGCCGCYUGGGAAGUACGGUCGCAAGACUAAAACUCAAAGAAAUUGACGGGGACCCGCACAAGCGGUGGAGUAUGUGGCUUAAUUCGAUGCAACGCGAAGAMCCUUACCAAGGCUUGACAUGCAUCUCUAAGCGCGUGAAAGCGCGUGACCCUUCGGGGGAUUUGCACAGGUGCUGCAUGGCCGUCGUCAGCUCGUGUCGUGAGAUGUUGGGUUAAGUCCCGCAACGAGCGCAACCCUUGUGAUUAGUUGCCAGCGGGUAAUGCCGGGAACUCUAGUCAGACUGCCCAGAUCAACUGGGAGGAAGGUGGGGACGACGUCAGGUCAGUAUGGCCCUUACGCCUUGGGCUGCACACGUACUACAAUGCCCAGUACAAUGAGAACCGAGACCGCGAGGUGGAGGAAAUCUACAAAACUGGGCCCAGUUCGGAUUGGAGGCUGCAACUCGCCUCCAUGAAGUUGGAAUCGCUAGUAAUGGCGCAUCAUCUACGGCGCCGUGAAUACGUUCCCGGGUCUUGUACACACCGCCCGUCACAUCAUGGAAGCCGGUCGCACCCGAAGUGCCCGUGCCAACCGCAAGGAGGCAGGGUCCUAAGGUGUAGCUGGUAACUGGGAUG
rnacentral:rRNA from 1 species